GACGAACGCUGGCGGCGUGCUUAACACAUGCAAGUCGAACGGAAAGGCCCUGCUUUUGUGGGGUGCUCGAGUGGCGAACGGGUGAGUAACACGUGAGUAACCUGCCCUUGACUUUGGGAUAACUUCAGGAAACUGGGGCUAAUACCGGCUAGGAGCUCCUGCUGCAGGGUGGGGGUUGGAAAGUUUCGGCGGUUGGGGAUGGACUCGCGGCUUAUCAGCUUGUUGGUGGGGUAGUGGCUUACCAAGGCUUUGACGGGUAGCCGGCCUGGGAGGGUGGCCGGCCACAUUGGGACUGAGGUACGGCCCAGACUCCUACGUGAGGCAGCAGUGGGGAGUAUUGCACAAUGGGCGGAAGCCUGAUGCAGCAACGCCGCGUGCGGGAUGACGGCCUUCGGGUUGGAAACCGCUUUCGCCUGUGACGAAGCGUGAGUGACGGUAAUGGGUAAAGAAGCACCGGCUAACUACGUG
rnacentral:rRNA from 1 species